UACGAAGGGGGCUAGCGUUGCUCGGAAUCACUGGGCGUAAAGCGCACGUAGGCGGAUUGUUAAGUCAGGGGUGAAAUCCUGGAGCUCAACUCCAGAACUGCCUUUGAUACUGGCGAUCUCGAGUCCGGGAGAGGUGAGUGGAACUGCGAGUGUAAAGGUGAAAUUCGUAGAUAUUCGCAAGAACACCAGUGGCGAAGGCGGCUCACUGGCCCGGUACUGACGCUGAGGUGCGAAAGCGUGGGGAGCAAACAGGG
rnacentral:rRNA from 1 species